rnacentral:lncRNA from 1 species
CAUAAUCACUGUCUGGAAACAGAAAAAGAUUGCUGACCUCUGACCUGGAGAAUAUGGUAGUUAUGAAAGUCAUACAAUCCACUCUAUGAUAUGAUAACUUUAAAAACUCCAGUAGGUUUUCCUUUUUUUAACUAAAACAUAGUUGUAAAGAUCCCAUAUGUGUAGAAUAGGUGGGUCACUCUGGAGUUCUUUGUUUGCCUCCUAGCUCUUCAGCAGAUGAGAGGCACCCUCCAGGUAGUGAGCACACAGAGGAAAGGCUCUGCAACCAGGAAACUACCUUAAGAUGGCUGGCUGGAAAAACCGUUUCAUGGGGUUGCAAACAACAUGACGGUGAGACUCCUUCCUCCACCUCCACCUUUGACCCUAGCACAGGUGCUUCUACAGCAGUGGGACAACGACAAUGGAAGCAUGGGUCUUUC